GAUGAACGCUGGCGGCGUGCCUAAUACAUGCAAGUCGAACGGGGCACAAGUAGUAAUACGAGUGCCUAGUGGCGAACGGGUGAGUAACGCGUUGGUGAUCUGCCUCGAAGUGUGGAAUAACGUUCCGAAAGGAAUGCUAAUACCGCAUGGUCUUCUGGUUUUUAGAAAGCUGGAAGUAAAGGAGUAAUUCGCUUCGAGAGGAGCCUGCGUCCCAUCAGCUAGUUGGUAAGGUAAUGGCUUACCAAGGCAAUGACGGGUAGGGGACCUGAGAGGGUGGCCCCCCACAAUGGAACUGAAACACGGUCCAUACACCUACGGGAGGCUG
rnacentral:rRNA from 1 species